rnacentral:rRNA from 1 species
AUAUUGGUCAAUAGCCUAACGGCUGAACCAGCAACUUGGAAGAAUGUAUAGUGAAAGCUAACUAUAUUAACUAAAUUUUAGUAUAGUAUCGACUAUGUCGACUAAAAUUCUGGGUAGAGUAAUGAUAAUGACAUUUUCUGCUCAUAAGUCUUGACCAAAUCACGUGCCAGCAGUCGCGGCAAUACGUGGAAGACUAGUGUUAUUCAUCUUAAAUAGGUUUAAAGGGUACCUAGACGGUAGAUCUAGCCCCCAAAGGGUACAGAUAUACUAGAGUUUGAUGAGAGGGGGGUAAGUACUGACGGAGUAGAGAUGAAAUUUGUUGAUACCGAUAUAAGAGACAGGUAUAGGCGAAAGCAACCCUUUAUGUAAAAACUGACGUUGAAGGGACGAAGGA